CCUACGGGUGGCAGCAGUGGGGAAUCUUGGGCAAUGGGCGCAAGCCUGACCCAGCAACGCCGCGUGAAGGAAGAAGGCUUUCGGGUUGUAAACUUCUGUUAAGAGGGAAGAGCAGAAGACGGUACCACUUGAAUAAGCCACGGCUAACUACGUGCAAGCAGCAGCGGUAAGACGUAGGGGGCAAGCGUUAUCCGGAUUUACUGGGUGUAAAGGGAGCGUAGACGGUUGCACAAGUCUGGAGUGAAAGCCCGGGGCUUAACCCGGGAACUGCAUGGGAAACUGUUGGACUGGAGUGCAGGAGGGGAGAGCGGAAUUCCAAGUGUAGCGGUGGAAUGCGUAGAUAUAAGGAGGAACACCGGUGGCGAAGGCGACUUACUGGACUGUAACUGACGCUGAGGCUCGAAAGCAUGGGGAGCGAACAGGAUUAGAUACCCCGGUAGUC
rnacentral:rRNA from 1 species